UUUUAUGAGAGUUUGAUCCUGGCUCAGGACGAACGCUGGCGGCGUGCCUAAUACAUGCAAGUCGAACGCUUCUUUUUCCACCGGAGCUUGCUCCACCGGAAAAAGAGGAGUGGCGAACGGGUGAGUAACACGUGGGUAACCUGCCCAUCAGAAGGGGAUAACACUUGGAAACAGGUGCUAAUACCGUAUAACAAUCAAAACCGCAUGGUUUUGAUUUGAAAGGCGCUUUCGGGUGUCGCUGAUGGAUGGACCCGCGGUGCAUUAGCUAGUUGGUGAGGUAACGGCUCACCAAGGCCACGAUGCAUAGCCGACCUGAGAGGG
rnacentral:rRNA from 1 species